rnacentral:rRNA from 1 species
GUGAGGAAUAUUGCGCAAUGGGCGAAAGCCUGACGCAGCGACGCCGCGUGGAGGAUGAAGGUCUUCGGAUUGUAAACUUCUGUUAAGUGGGAAGAAAGGGCUGCUUUUAAUAGAAGCAGUUAAUGACGGUACCAUUAAAGAAAGCACCGGCUAAACUCGUGCCAGCAGCCGCGGUAAUACGAGUGGUGCAAGCGUUAUUCGGAAUAAUUGGGCGUACAGGGUGUGUAGGCGGUAUGUUAAGUCUGUUGUUAAAGACUCCGGCCUAACCGGAGACAGGCAGCGGGAACUGGCGUACUAGAGGGUGGAAGAGAGAAGUGGAAUUCUCGGUGUAGCGGUAAAAUGCGUAGAUAUCGAGAGGAACACCGAUGGCGAAGGCAGCUUCUUGGUCCAUACCUGACGCUGAAACACGAAAGCGUGGGGAGCAAACAGGAUUAGAAACCCGGGUAGUCC